rnacentral:rRNA from 1 species
AUCGAACGCUGGCGGCAGGCCUAACACAUGCAAGUCGAACGAGUGGCGGACGGGUGAGUAAUGUCUGGGAAACUGCAUGAUGGAGGGGGAUAACUACUGGAAACGGUAGAUAAUACCGCAUACCAUCGGAUGUGCCCAGAUGGGAUGAGCUAGUAGGGGGGGUAACGGCUCACCUAGGCGACGAUCCCUAGCUGGUCUGAGAGGAUGACCAGCAACACUGGAACUGAGACACGGUCCAGACUCCUACGUGAGGCAGCAGUGGGGAAUAUUGCACAAUGGGCGCAAGCCUGAUGCAGCCAUGCCGCGUGUAUUAAGAAGGCCUUCGGGUUGUAAAGUACUUUCAGCGGGGAGGCUUUACCCGCAGAAGAAGCACCGGCUAACUCCGUGCCAGCCGCCGCGGUAAUAC